GCCAUGUCAGAUGUUCAGCUUUCAGAAAUCGAUCACAAACUGGAACACUCACUACCGGGUUUGCAGAGUUUGGGAGCCAAAAUGUCCGAGUACCAAGGCAUUUGACUAUCAAGGUAUGACUGUACUGACCUAGAUCAACCAAUGGCCUGACUCAGUAUGAGACAGCUUCCUGUGUUCAGAUUUUUGGGUCACUGGGUCAAACAGCACAAUGCCUGUGGUCAUACAGAAUGAACCCUCAUCUAUAACCUACCCAUAUUCAACCUCAGAUAAUAUAUCUCAGUAAAGAAGCUGCAGUUUGGCAUCUUGUUAUGACACUAAUGGGACAUGUGGCAUGAGCAAAGUGAUCUAUCUGAUGGAGCAGAAAAUGCCUUUGAUUAAUGGAAAAUGAAUGCCAUUCAUCUUAAUGUGAUUUCUAUUAUACAGGUUCAAUAGAUAAUGAGAUCUUUUAUCUUUCUUUGCUAAGCAUAGGUAGCUAACCCUGAGGGGCAAGCUCUGUGUUUAAAAGAGAGAGAAAACACUCGACUUUCUCUCUCUCUCUCUGCUUUACUUUUUAAAAGAUAUAGUAUUUUUAGACGUCUGGUGACAAUUUAGCCACAACAUGGAGACCAAUUAAUGACUCUCUUGAGAAAGGAAAUGGGUCAACUUUACCAACUCUUCAUGUGACUCAGGAGAAUAUCUACAUCAGGAACAUGUGAAAUAUUUCCCGUUACUCUGACAGAUAAUUUCUACCUUUCCUAUCCUGUUGAAAUUGUCUGGCAACGACACUGAUCCACCUAAGUAAAAAUUAAUUUUUCACAACACACUAAAUAACAAUAACAAUAAUAAUAUAUUUAUACCCCGCCCACCUGGCUGGGUUUCCCCAGCCACUUUUGGUGGCUCUCAACAGAAUAAUAAUAAUAAAGUGAUAAAACAUCAAAAAUUAAAAACUCCUCUAACAGUGCUGCCUUCAGCCAUCUUCCUAAAGUCAGGUAGUUGUCUAUUUCCUUGACAUCUGAUCGGAGGGCGUUCCACAGGGUGGGCACCACUACCAAGAAGGCCCUCUGCCUGGUUCCCUGCAACCUCACUUCUCACAGUGAGGCAACCGCCAGAAGGCCCUCAGAGCUGGACCUCAGUGUCCGGGCUGAAUGAUGGGGAUGGAGAUGCUCCUUCAGGUAUACUGGGCAGAGGCCAUUUAGGGGUUUAAAGGUCAGCACCAACACUUUGAAUUGUGCUCGGAAACAUACUGAGAGCCAAUGUAGGUCUUUCAGGACUGGUGUUAUAUGGUCCCGGCGGCUACUCUCUCUCUUUUUUAUAUUUUUUACUAAAUUUUAUUAGUAUUUUCGACACAACAACAACACAAAAGAUAUCUAAAAAUAACAAUACACAACACACACAAAUCAACAUUUGAAAACUAAAGAAAGCAACAACAACUACAAAAACAAAUCCAUAUCUUACAAGUUAAUAUUAUAAACACUAAAGCAACAACAAGACAUUGACUUCCACCAAUCCCACAGCACCUCCUUUAUCUCUCAUUGUGUCUUCCUAUUUUCCUGUUUUCUUUAUCAUCUCUAUCCUAACAUCUAGAUAUAAAUCCCUCUUUCAUAUCUUCAGUCACUCUCAGUCACCAGUCUAGCUGCUGCAUUCUGGAUCAGUUGUAGUUUCCGGGUCACCUUCAAAGGUAGCCCCACGUAGAGCGCAUUGCAGUAGAGUGCAUUGCAGAAAAACAGAUGUGUAUUUUAUGUGUAUGAGCCCUUGUAUUUGCAUGUCAUGUUUCCCAUUCAAAGGCACAAUCUUUUCAAUCAAUAUAAUGUAAAUUUAAAUCACUUAUGUGCAUCAUGUUACUGCUGACUUCGGUGCAUCUCGUCACUCUUGUUUUUCCCCAAAGAUCCACUGAUAAUAAUCUCAAAACUUGCUGCCUGAUUGGGUUGCUUCUCUGUGUGUUUUACAAUGGGAGAGGAAAAUCCUGGUGAUAUUUGCGGCAUCACCAACACCAUGCAUUCAAAGCACAUGAAUUCCCCAAAGAAACUUGGAAACUGUAGUUUGUUAAUGAUGCUGGGAUCUUUCUGGCACCUAAUCCUCUCAGCUUCUUUCAAGAGCCUGCCUCCUCUCCAGUCAUUUCUGGUACAUCCUGCUCAGCGGCAGACUUCUGGGUCCUUAGAGUGAUGAUUCAGCCACUGUGCUCACCAUUUGCAGUCUCUGGCCAUUCUGUUUUUCACAGAUAUGCCAGACACAAUCCAAGUGAUACUCCACGCCACAGUUUGGCAGAUUUAUGCCAUUUAAAUGUGGACUUUUUGUGCAUUUCCCCACAAAAUCCAAAACAAAGAGGAUGUAAUGCAGGCAUCCCCAAACUUGGCCCUCCAGAUGUUUUGGGACUGCAAUUCCCAUCAUCCCUGACCACUGGUCCUGUUAGCUAGGGAUGAUGGGAGUUGUAGUCCCAAAACAUCUGGAAGGCUGAGUUUGGGGAUACCUGAUAUAAUGGAUCUAGGAUUGAGCACCAAUGAGACUGAAACGGGAUUGGUCUUCCAGGUAUAAUGGAAAUGCACCACAAUUUGCCAUGAAAACUUUGUUCAGGUAUAACACCAACAGGUGUGUUGUUUUCUUUUGUUUUCUUUGUCUUAUGGGAGCAUAUUGUUCAAAUGUUGCCUUAUAAUUUCCCAAUAGCAAAUGUUGUCAUGUGGGAAUAUCUGUCAACAGCCAAAAAAAAAUUUAAAAAAUAAAAAGAGUAGUAUUUUAAUUCACACACUACUGAUGAAACUGAGAGAACUCUGGAGAAAUGAAAGACACAAAUUGGCAGUCAGGGCAAUGAAUGUGUAGUCCUGUAUUUUUCCUAUUAGUAUUUUAGACGUACAAAAGUGAUUGUUACUUUGUUUUUCUCUGCAUACGUAAUUACUUCUGCCUAAGGAACUGUAUAUAAAUCAGUUAAUGUAAACAUGGUAUGCUAUACUGACACGGAGAGCAAUCCAGAUUUCAAUGGAAAACAUCUUAGACAGUUUAGAAACUAAUAAGAGAAAACACAAUCAUAUAUGACUUUUGCCCAUGGGGACUGGUGUGUUGGAAGGCAGGGAACACCUUCUGGACUCCCCUCCCCCCCCAAAAAAAAAAGCCAAUUGUGGAGCCUGGGAGAGGAGAGAGGGGAAGUCCAUUGCUCUAAGUGGAAGUUUGUGCACAGGACUUCUGCUUGCAGGAAGUAAGGUGGGUGAAUCCUGCCCAAUCUGAGUAUGCCUAACAUUAGAUACAAUACUAUACCUACUUUACAGAUCUGUUUAUGUACAUGGUCAGUCCUACCAUUUGGUAGAGUGUAGGAGCUGCCUCAGGCUACCUCACAGGUUGAGGUGGUUCUCCCACAAGAUUUUGCACUGCCAGUUUCUCUCAACAACAGAAACCUUUGAGAUUGGUUCAGUAAGAAAUCAACUUUAGGGUUGUUGGUUUUUUGUAUGUGCUAUGGCUGUUUCUAAUUUAAUAUAGAUUUAUUUCAUUAGCUACCGUAUUGGCCUGGAUAUAAGCCGCACCCACAAAUAAGCUGCACCUUUAAAAUUCAAGGGGGGGGGAGAAAAAAAGACAAUACCUGGGAUGUAGCACUGCUUUGCCGGCGGCCUCCCCUCCCCCCCCUGACGGCUAUGGGGAGGCUUGGGAGCGGCGGCCGGCCCUCCAUUGCCCUGCGCUCCCAGGCUGCUUCUUGGGGGGAAACUGCACCACUUUGCCAGUGGCAUAAGGUCAUGAAUAUAAGCCACACUUUAACUUUUCAUGAUCAGAAUUUGGAAAAAAAAAGUGUGGCUUAUAUUUGGGCCAAUCUGGUAUUUGACUUCUAUAUUUUUUGUAAUACAUUCAAAGUUUUUUACGUAUACAUAUGUGUAUGUGUUUGUGUAGUUGAAGAAUAACUUAAUAAAUGUAUUUCAAUCUUUUUAGAUAAGCCCUUGAAAAGGGCAUUUGGGGCUAAAAUGUGUUGAGCACAUAGUAUAGAUAACAAAUCCAUUCAUUUCUCUUCCUUGUAUGCCAGCUGAUUUUGAGUGUCACAAAAGGAGAGCAAAUUCAUCAUUUAAUGUAUUAUUGUUGUUAUUUCUACUGACAUGGAGGAGAGGAGGCCCUUGUGAGAUCUUCUGCCAAAAUAACUUGGCUAGCCUUUGAUAUUAUGGAUCUGUAUUUGUUGGGAUGGGCAAUUGCUGCCCUGCUUCAGGCAGCAAAAUAUCUUGCGUCAGCCCUGUAUAUAUUUAUCAAUACUAUUGAUGAUCCAGAUUCAUUUCAUAACCCAAAUCUCAGGAGAGCUAGCCCACCAAGCCCCAAAACAGCAGCAAUGUUUGUCACUUGUUUAUCUGUAAUAUAGAAGCAUCCAAGGUGAACUCUGAAUGGGGUUGUUAAUGAAGGGGGUCAUCCUACAGUAUACGUCAACAAUGGCCUCUCACCUUUGAAACAAACCUUUCAGUGCAAGAACCCAUAAUCCAUACUCCCCUUUUGUUAUUGCUGCUUAUAUAAAGUGAUGAACAAAUAGGGCAGGCCACAGUGUUUUCUUCUUUUGAAAUUGACAACACUUCUGGUGUUUUUCAGAAGCUCAGAUAGUUUAACACAUUCGCUUUUCAGCAGGUGGGUUGUGAGUACUGUGUCAGAUCCUGACCUCAGCUGAAUUGGACUAAGUUUUAUUAUUCCAGUUAUCUUUUAUUUUUGAGAAAGGGGAGGAGAGGUAGAAAUGCAGGGCCAAACUACAUAUAGAUAUUACUUUUCUGCAGUUAUGCAUUAAAAUAAUAAUAAUAAUAAUAAUAAAAGGUUCAGGAAGUUGCAGUUUUGAGGAAAGGAAUCCUCAGAUAGGGGAUGAAUAACCCUUCUCCUUCCUAAACAUGGUUCUCUGGUCUAAAUAAGUUUAUACUUGUUUUUCAUGCAUGAAGCCUAAGAUUCAUGCAUGAAGCUCUUGCACCUCCUGAAAAGAUGGAGCCACUAUGGUACUGAGCUGUAGAACUAGUCUAUUCUCUUCUACUCUAUAUGUGAUUCCAGAGAAUAUUGGAGAAGGAGACAUAACUAGUUGCAUUCUCUAAAUGUAUUCCACUGCACCAGCAUAAGCCCACUUUCUACUGCUGGGGUAGGGAACCUUUGGCCCUCUAGAUGUUGUUGGCUUCAGCUAGCAUAUUUAGUGAUCAGGGAUGAUGGGACUUGGAAUCCAACAAUGUCUGGAGUGCCACAGGUUCCACAUCUCUGUUCUAGAGGGUCCUUUGGGGAGCAGGAGAUAGCUGCUCUUAACUUGCAAGAUAAAACUAAAGUAGAGGGGAGCACUUUAAUAUACACACUGUAAACUCAGAGGAAUAGGGAGAUGUCAGUUUCAGAAAACCCAAAUGAUAAUAACCGAGAUUUCUGGUGCGUGUUUCUGCCAAUGAAUCAUUUCAGAAAGUCUGCUUGAUCCUUUGAAAUUGAAAUGAUCUUAGGCGUAACUCAUUCCGUUCUGUUGGCUAGAAUAUUGGCAAAAGUUAAUAAACAAGAAGGGUCAAUAAUUACUGCUGGACCAGGAAUUUGUAUUAGCUAUUCAGUCACUGAUCACUGGCUCAGAGAAUGAUUCAUGGACUCAGCUUGUACAAUGUAGCUUGUCAAAUGCAAGUUUCAGCUUGGGAGAGAGACAUUCACUGAACUGUUUAAAGAAUCCUGCAAUGAAAUCAUUGGAGCCAGAAGAGUUUUAACAUUUUCUAAGUCCUUCGCUGCUGUUGUAGUUCUCCUCAGCUCUUGGAAAGUCCAACAAUUUGUUUUUCUUCUUACUCUUCUUUCUGAUUUUGUAAUUAAACACAAUGUCAAAUUUACCUUUCACAACUGCAUCCAAUGUUUCCUGUAUGUGGGGCUGCCCCACUUUUAACUCACAAGAACCUAGAGAGUUCAGUUAGGUUGGGAGAUAGUGGCACAACAGAUCUAGGCUGAGCCUUCACAGCUUGUGACCACCAAAGCGCUUGCAACCGACUAGCCACAUAUUGUGAUCACCAGGUGUUUUAUGCCUCCCAAUAUAUAUAAUUAUAUAUUUCAGCAGCUCAAUCACACCCCUAUUUUUUUGCAGAUGAUUGCUUCUGAAAGUUUACUAAGCCCCUGAUGGGAUACCACACAUAGCUAAUAAAUUGUGUUUGAUUUCAGUUCAGCAAAAUUUCAGACCUACUUCAUGCAAUGGAAUGAGGAACAAAGACAGAAAAGGACACAGCAUCAUGUUGGUUCAGAAAAACGGAAGAGAAUGAAGUAGAGGUUUGGGGCAUAUAUUGUUAGGUGAGAGAAACCCAUCACAGAUUUAAAAUCUCAAAAUAUGCAGC